ACGGGGCGGUGUGCGCUGCGCCUGUCGGGCCGCGGCGGCUGCCUAACCUUGGUAUACAGACAUGCAUCUGUGUGUGCCUCUAAGACGUACGUAUUAACGCAGUUCCAAAAAGCCACCCCCAGUUUGGAGUCACCACUAGUUGGAGACUGCUCCUGAAAAACCCUGUUUGUGUCUCCCAAAACGGGCCCAGCUGGCUGCAUCUCUCGUCUGGAGCAGGCGUCGCUCCGCCUCAUUUCUGCUAGGCCGCAGCACGGCGCACACACCUAUAGGGCAGUGCUAAGGCUUUGGGACUCCAUCGCGUGAAGGUGAGGCUUUGACCCAAGAGCCACGGCUUUGAAGCACGAUGUUUGCAAAGCCUUCGGGACCCACAUCCCCACAGGGGGUUCCUCCAUGCAGCUCCUGCCUCAGCUGUCACCUCUUUCACUCCAUGGCUGGUCUGAAAAAGCACCUAGGAAAUGUUAGUACCAACUUGUAUCUGCUGCCAACGUACGCUGCCUUUGGGCCUACAAUAAAUAACUCGAUUUAAAAAAGAAAAUGUAGAAAGAGAAGACUAACUUAAUGUGCUUCACUUGGGUUAAGGGUAUUUAUCUUAAGCAAUAAAGACUGCAUCUUUUCCCACUGGAGCUUUUCUCGAAGUUAAACCCCGAGCUGUUCUUCCCACCACCUGCAGGAAGAGGAGUUGGGUUCUCCAUUUAGCUUGUUUGCUGCUGAGGAAAAUCAAGGCUCUAGAAACAAGGCCAUUUGUCUCAAGCAAGUGGUUCCUGGUGACCUGCAUGGGUAUACCUGCUUCCAGCCAGCCCUGAGCCACAGGAACAGAGAGGUGUGAGUCACACACAGCAGGCAGUGCAGAAAAGAAGGAGUCUCCACCCAAUGCUGAGGGAAACGGUGUUGUUUAUGCAGCAUUUACAGAGAAACCACCCUGACCUGUGCUGAAAGCAAGAAGGCAGAGUUCCCCUACCCCUCACAAGCACAAAACAUACGGAGCGACAUAGCUUGAAGAAACAGAACAGAGCGACUGCAGCAGCAACACUGAAAUAACACCGCGAGCUGACACCAGACAAAAGCUGUGACUUGACAUGAGCCCACGCCCGGCUGGGGUUCCUUCAACGAGGGUGAAACCAGGAAGACUCCUCGAGCUGAUUUCACAGAGCACCCCGAGCUAGAAGGGCUUUGCAACACCUGCCUCGCCUUCCACCUACCCCGACCACCCCGCCGCCCCCACAGCCCGGCGGGGCCGGGACAAAGCGCUGCCAUUGUCCCCGCUGCCAUUGUCCCCACGCGCGGCCCUUACCGGAGCUGUCCAUGGUGCUGCCGUCGGCGCGGUGCUGCUGCUGCUGCUGCCGCGCGGGGCUCCGGCCGCCCGCCCCCACCGCGCCGGGCCCACCGCCGCCUCCCUCAGCGCCGCUCUCCACCAGCUGCAAAGAUUCAUAGCCGUCACCUCCGGGUUUCUUGCGGUAGCCGCCGAGCAGGCUCAUAGGGGCGAGGCGGGCGGGCAGCCUGCCGUGCCGCCGCGGGCAGGACGGAAGAUGAGCGCUUCGGCCGCCCCGAGGGGAGGAACGGGGCGGGACGGGGCGGCCGCUGAGCUCUGCCCGCCCCCGCGGGCCCGGAAGCAAUCGGAGGGCCGCGGCCGCGAUCCGCGAUCCCGUGGAAAGAAAGAUCUUCACGGAAAAUGGUGCAUCCGUACAUCCUGCGCCCGGCAGCACUGCCAGCUCCCAGCGCGACCCCUAAGCUCAGAGGAGGGUGUACAGCUGGCGGGAGGUUCUUGAUAUAGGAUCACCGAAUGGGUUAGAAAGGACCUCGAACCCAUCCAGUCCCAGCUCCUGCCAUGGACAGCUCCCGUAGCUCCAUCCGUGGCCUUGAGCACCUCCAGGGACGGGGGACCCACAGCUUUCUGGGCAGCGGUGUCAGGGCCUCACCACCCUCGUGGCAAAGCAUUUCCUCCUAACAGACAGCCUAAAUCUCCCCUUAAAGUUCAAAGCCAGUCAGAGAAACAAGGGCGUUGGAAGGGACUUCUGGAGAUCUCCCAGUCCAGUUCUCCCCAGACAGCUGUGCUAGAGCUCUGCCAACUCAGAGUAAAGAUUUUUUUUCCCCAGAAUUCAGGUGGAACCUCCUAUGUUCCAGUUUGUGCCUCUUGUCCUGUCACUGGGCACCACUGAACUGAGCCCACCCCCACCCGCUUGAAUCCCACCGUUAGAUAUUGAUCAGCACUGAUCAGAUCCCCUUCAGCCUUCUCCUCCCUAGGUGAACAGCCCCAGAGCUCUCAGCCUGUCUCCCUCAGGAGGGGCUCCAGGCCCCCACCAUCUGCACUGUCCACAGAGCUCUCCUAGCAGUUCACUGCCCUGAACUGGGCAUCUCUGCUCUGAGCACAGAGCUUCAGCUGUGCCCUACACAGGGCAGAGCAGAGGGGGAGGAUCACCUCCCUUGACCUACUGGUCACACUCUGGGCGAUGCACCCCAGAUCCCAUUGGCCUCCUGGGCCACCAGGGCACACUUCUGUCUCAUAGCCAACCACUGGUAUGGGAAGUCAACCAGAUCCUUCUCUACAGAGUUCCUUGUCAGCACACUAGCCCCUAACCUGUAACAUUCCCCUUCAUCCUACCACUCUCAGACACCCCAAAACCCUGGCAAUGCAGCUGAGUGCUGCACCAGUUAUCUUGUCAGCACUCCUGUAUUCUUGUAGCUGUUCACAUGGGCACAGACUUCAGACCAAUGCAAAGCACAUCCCCCAGCAUGUGAUGAGCCAUGCCUGACUCUGCACACCUGGUAGCAUCCUUCCCUUUCACAUGAGACAGAGGAACUAAGAGAUGCUCCGUAGAAGCAACCAUUAUCAGCUCUUCCAUAUUUAUUUGUUUUUUUAAUUAGAAGAAAAUAAAGGGGGAAAAAAAGUUGGUGCAUCCAGACACAACAGCUGUGCCUUCAGUCUCUUAGAGAGAAAGCACAAAGUGCUCUGCUUAAAAAAAUAGUGUGGGCUUGCUUUGAAAGCAAUAACCAGAACUUGAAAUAUUGCUGAUACUUGGAUUAAACUCUCCUCUCCUCCACUAAAGGACAGUGGGCAUCUGGCACAGCCGUACCUCAUCGCAUGUUUUUGUUUAUGUAACUCCAGCAAUUUUACAUUGUGCUGCAAACAAGGUACAUCUGUGACCCAGAAUUUUCUCAGAAAAUAAACCCGAGCAGAUUUACAAGCAAACAAACUAAAAUGAGUUAACCUGACAUAAGUGGUUCAUGGUAGCAGCUUGAGUUUGAGUUUGCUGCCCUCUCCUUACUGGGCUGUUAAUACAUUGAUGUCUAUGUGUAGGUAGUGAUGCUCGCCAAUAGGAAUGUGCACCCUUCCCUCACAUUGCCCAUUUGCAACACCUUAGUCAAAAAAAAAAAUAAGGUGACUUCCAAAAGUGUGAGCAAAGAAAGAAAAAUAAAAACAAAAAGACACAGGGAAACAGCUGCUUAGAAUAAUUCAUCAACAUCCCCCAAGGUUUAUUGAGUUGCAGCUAAUGAUGCUACCGGAUAAUCCAGGUGUUUUUAUCAUGUGUGCAUGGUGAGGCUGGCAGGUGCCAUCCAUGCUAGGGAGCUAAAGGCUGGGGAGGAAAGAGCUCCUUCCCCACUGCUGACCUCCCAAGGUCACUUAAUAGCCCAGCCCCCAACCCCGUGCUGCCAGCUGGGCUGCAGCUCUCCUGGGCAAAAGUCAGUGUUAGCAGCUGUAAUCGAGCACCAAAUAUCUGAAGGUGCAACUUCAUUUUCUUCCAGCUCUCCCCUAACGAGCUGAGCAGUUAAAGUGAAACAUUAAACUCUUAAUUCCCCAUGAAAACAUCGCAGUGCUGUAAGAACUACAACUAGAGCUUGAAAAUUAAUUUACCAUCCAGGGCGAUACCUCUAAAACUCAAUGAGCUGAACAUUUGUUCAAAGGCAUUCCACUGUGAACCAUGAACCCUCUCAGCACAGAGUGUUUCUGCAGGAGGCCCAGAGCCAGGUGUGACCACACAGAUGAGGGCACACAGUACCAGCAGGGCUGUGCUGGGGCUGCUCUUGUGGGUUGAAAAAUGCAUGUAUUGUUAAGGAAAGCAAGGCUUGCUCAAGCAGCUUAACACCUCAUUCCUCACGUGGUUGGAUCUGGGAGCAACAAUCGCUCUACUCCAGAAAGAAAAAUCGAGCAGAACUUCAUUGCCUGUUUCUUAAAUUCAAGUCUGGAAGUUUCUUUUAAUCUUACCCCCAAGAAAGACCACACUAUCACUGACUGUAAAUAAACAUACAGAGCUCAGAUUUUGUACUUCCACUUCCAAAAAGCCCCCACGCCCCCGGGACAGGACUUCCCUCUUCUCCUUCACUCUCACUCUACUCCAUGCAAUGGGACCCUGGCUCAUCACUAUAUGCUCCAGACAAUUAACAUUUUGGCUUUCCCCAUCUUCAAAGCACUCAAAUCCCAAUCAAACCACCUCAAUUCACAGAGCCCCUGAUUAAGGUUCUCUUCAACAGCUCUUUAAUGAGUAUUCUACAAAAUGGGCUUUCUGGAGAACGAGAGAGGGGAAAAGAAUGAAAAAAUAAAACACAACAGCACUCCUUUAA